AAUGAUCUAAAACAAGUUAUACCAUGGUCUGGGUGAAUACUCGAUUCUGAUUGGCUGCAGGGUGUCCGUUAAAAAGUGAUAGAGGACACCUAGUAAAGGAGUUCUGGUGAAACUGCCUGUUUACCGUUCGAAAUUAAUAAAUAAAUGCGCUGCCUACAACAGCUGUGAGUAACCAUAGCAACAGGCAGUCAAAGUAUC